rnacentral:lncRNA from 1 species
AGAUGGAAAUGCGGAAAUCACCGUCUUCUGUGUCGCUCAGGCUGGGAGCUGUAGACCGGAGCUGUUCCUAUUCGGCCAUCUUGGCUCCUCUCCCUCUUUAAAGUGAUUGCUCACUGAUGCCUUAUCUAGUUCUCUUGGUGAGGUCAUGUUUUCCUGGAUGGUCUUGGUGUUUGUGGAUGUUCAUCAAUGUCAGGGCAUUGAGAAGUUAGAAUGUGAUUUUGAAGAAAGGAGGAAAGAUGUGAAAAGUGAUUGGUCAGCCACAUUCAUGGUGUUGAGAAAAGAAUUUGCUUUUCUGGAACAUAGCCUGUGAUAGCAGAACAACACCUGGCAAGAAACAGGUUAUGUUUGGCUGGAGAGUCAUUGGCACUAUCAAGAAAUAUUAAAGUGUAGAUUUGAGAGAGGAGGAGAAAGACCCAAGCAAAAUUGAAAACCAGGUGGGACCCAGACAGCAGCAAAGCAAUGGAAGCAUGUAUUUUGGUCAAUAUAGAGUUAAUACACAAUUUUGCCCCUCUUCUUCUGAUCAUGGGACUCAUAUUACCAGUCUUCACAUUUCCUUUAAAUUCAGGAAUCAGGAAGAAUUUCCAGAGUUUGCAGAUGGACACAUUUGCUGCUUCCAUUCUAAACAUAAGUUAGAAGAACCUUUCAACUGGAUUCCAACUUUAAUAUGUCACAAACAUAAAAAAGAAAGCUAUUUCCUGGACUUUUCUUCAUUAGAAAUUAAUAGAUUGUCAAUUGGCAUAGGGAAAAGAUAAUCAACAGAUGCCAACCCCAAGUUAACAGAAAUGCUAAAAUUAUAAGACAAAGACUUCAAAAUAGCUAUUUUAAUUUUGCCUAGUGAGGUAAAUGCAAACAUGCUCACUAUGAAUGAAAACAGGUAAUCUCAGCAGUCAUGUAAACUAUAAAAAUAAGCAAAUAUAAAUUUUAGAAUUAAAACACAAUAUCUAAAAAUAAAUUCACCUGAUAUUCUCAAUAGAAAAAAUGGUAAUGCAGAGAAAAAUGUAUGAAAAUAUGGCAAUUUGAAGAAGAGAGAAGAGAUCAAUAAAAUAAAUAAGUAUAUCCUUGGAGACCUGUGGAUGUUUUUUGAAAAGUGAAUCAUGUAAGUAAUUGAAGUCCCAGAAGAAAAGAAAAGAAGAGGAUGAGCAGAAAAAAAUUUCUGAAAAAAUAUCUGAAAGCUUAAACACUAUAAUGAAAGACACACAUUUACAAACUCAAGAAGUUUAGUAAACCAAAAACAAUAAAAUCAAAGAGAACUGUGCCAAGCGACAUCAUUUUCAACCUGCUGAAGAUCUUGACAGCAGUCAGAGAAAAAAGACACACUUAUUACACAGAGAGGAACAAUACAUUAAAUACUAGCACACUUCUCAUCAGAGAUCAUUAAGCCCAGAAGACAGUGGAAUGAGAUCUUUAAAGUGCUGAAAUAAAAUAAAUGUUGAUUAAAAAAUUCUAUAGCUAA